GUGAAAUAUUGAGACACACACUGAGGAGAGCUGGGAGCUGAGUGUAGCCAUUGGAAGCGGCUGCUUAUUUUCCCACAAAGGGAAAGGACAUUGUAAAGUCAAAGUACAGGCCAGCAUUCUGCAUCUUUUAGCAUUUGCUGCCAAAAUGUGAUCAGAAAACUUCUGAGAAGGAGAGGAACUCCCUCCAAUACAGAUUAUAACCAACUGUAUGUUACAAAACAUCCAAAAGAAUUAGACCGGAAACGAGAGCAGCAUGCGGCAAUCGUUUUGGGAGCUGAAGAAAGAAAUGUCUAAUUUACAUCUGAUGACUGAAGUACAAGGCAAGGUGCUAAGAAAGCUGAAAGCAAGCGUAAAUGCAUCCAAGAAAG